AUGACGGCGGCAAGAGAGACCCGCGCAAAGGCGCGGGCGCCGAAGGGGCAAGACCGCGCGGUUGAAACUCUCAGGCAUAAGGAUUGGCGCUCGACA
rnacentral:ncRNA from 1 species